GCCCUUGUAGCUCAGAUGGUAGAGCAGCGGUUUUGUAAACCGAAGGUCGCGGGUUCGAUUCCUGCCGGGGGCACCA
rnacentral:tRNA from 2 species